rnacentral:rRNA from 1 species
UACGUAGGUGACAAGCGUUGUCCGGAUUUACUGGGCGUAAAGAGCGCGCAGGCGGUCGAUCAAGUCGAGUGUGAAAGCCCCCGGCUCAACUGGGGAGGGUCAUUCGAUACUGAUCGACUCGAAGGCAGGAGAGGGUAGUGGAAUUCCCGGUGUAGUGGUGAAAUUCGUAGAUAUCAAGUGGAACACCGGUGGCGAAGGCGGCCUUCUGGACAGUGACUGACGCUGAGACGCGAAAGCGUGGGGAGCAAACAGG